ensembl:lncRNA
AGUGUACAUACUGUAUAGAACAGAACAACAAAUCAGUGUUAUAAAACAAAAUUGUACAAGAAAAGUACAUCCUGAAUAUAAUAUUGUUGCUGUUGCUUCUUUUUGUUCUUGAUAAAUGGCAAUAUCUGAACACAUAAAUAGUGUUACAGUUUGGUUAUUUAGCUUAAAGACUGAUAAGAGUUUCAUUAGAAUUGUUGAGUUAUUAUUUGGUGGUUUAGUGGUUAGCACAUUUGCUUCGCACCUCCAGGGAUGGGGGGUUCGAAUUCCUCCUCCACCCUGUGUGCACAGAGCAUGCUCUCCCUGUGCUUCAAAGGUUUCCUCCGGGUACUCCAGUUUCCUCCCCCAGUCCAAAGAUAUACACUGUAGGCAGAUUUGCAUCUCUAAAUGGUCCGUAGUAUGUGAAUGUGUGUGUGAAUGUGUCCUGCGAUGGGUGUCCAGCGUGUCCCCUGUCUUGUGCCCCGAAUCCCCUGGGAAAGGCUCCAGGCUUCCCACGACCCUGUGUAGGAUAAGUGGUACAGAAAAUGAAUGGAUUGGGUUAUUACUUUUUUUUUCACAAAUGCUGUUAUAAUUAAGGAAGAGUAUUUUGUAAAGGUAAAGGGUAAUGCUGAUAAGUAGGUCUCACCUCUCUUUAACUGUUGCUAUAGUGUGAUUUAUUUUGUCUUAUUUUAUGUUUUUUUUUUAAAUCUCAAAUCAAACGUGACUUCAUACUUUCACAUCCAUGUAAUAGAAAUGGGUUUUAUUAUUGAAUUUACCAGUUUCCAUAUUUUGCCCUCUCUCUCUCUCUCUCUCGCUCUCUCUCUCUCGCUCUCACACACACACCACACACACACACACACACACACACACACACACUGACUGAGAUGUGCUAUAUUUGAGUGUGUGCUGCCACAGUGACCCAUAUACAGUAGAGCAAGGAACUGUGGGGAUUUAUAUUUUUUAGUAUUUUGACUGAUAUAAUAAAUUCCUUUUUAACAGAUAUGAUGGAAUUCAUGCUUACAGACAGGCUACAUGAUCUCACCUGGUUGCUUCCAUAGGCAACAGCACACUAGGACCUAUACUGUGAAAGGUUUGGCAGUCCACAUCUGCUCUACGUCUCAGUAGCCUCAAAGACUCACAGAUUCUGCAGUCCUUUCCUCCACCCACCCGAAUUCCUUUGCUCUCUCUUUCGUCCCAUUUCUUAUUCUCUCUUUAAUUCUCUCUCUCUCUCCUUUUCUUUUCUUCUCUUGAGCUCUCUUUUUACCUUCUCGGUUUUUUCUUCCCACUUCAGAAUCCAGAUGCCCCAGUGACCCAUUUCUAUCAGUAAAAAAGUGACUCUGGUAGUGGAUAAUCAUUAUUAUGUAAUCUAUGCAGACGUAGAGUUAGUUCAUCAGUCAAUUUUUGGACCUUCAGAAGUUGAACUUUGCCAUGAAAGUCUUAAAUUCAGAUUGCACUGUAAACCCUGUGAGCUGCAUUUUUAUUCAGUUACAUAAAGUGUGUAUUUGCCAAUAAAAUACAGUACAGUGUAAUAUGUGACACACUAUGGGAUUUUGGGUGACAUAAAAUAACACCACUAGCAUUUGAUACAUUAUUUAAAAUACAGUGCACUAUUUAUACAUUACACUACUAAUUGUGUGUGUGUGUGUGUGUGUGUGUGUAGGGGGGGGGGGGGGGGGGGGGGGGGGGGGGUGGGGUUAGAUUGUGUGCUAAUUGUGAAUUUUCCUCUGGGAUUACUUCUCUAUCUAUUUAACUAACUACCAUAUUGUUGCACAAUCCCUGAUCUGAGAGAGAGCAAGAGGAGAAACAAGUUUCUGUCAGGUAAAUAGUAAUGUUAGCUAGGAAUGAUAUUUUACCUCAUGACACUUUAUAUAUUUGGUUACUUACACUAGUUAUAGUUACUUAGAGAAAACAGUCUUCACUGAAGUGCAAAGCUCAUUAUCAUUAAUGGUAUCUAAUUACAUCUAAUAGCAUUAACUAACUAACUACCUAGAUAGUUAUUUAGCUAGUUGUGUAAUGCUAAAAUAGCUAACUAGCAAUCAGUCUGUAGCACAUUCAUGCUUACCCAUUGGUAAUAGUCCAUUUUUCUGAAAGCUGUUUGCCUUGAUUCAAUAUUAAACCACUACCAGUGGCUCAGUCUGUAAUGCUUGUAACAUGGGGUUAUGACAUUCGUUUAACUAGACGCUGAGUAGCUAGGUAAGGUUAGUUGUUACAUUUACAAUUGCUGUACAUUUUUACAGGGUGUCCCAAAAGUGUCUCCAUACAUAGGGUAAAUUAAAUAUUUUUUUUAGUAAAAUGUCUUCCAAAAAUAUUUCAUACUUAAUUUAUAUAUAUAUAUGCCACACAUAUACGCACAUACACCACACACACACACACACAUAUAUUGUUUUUUUUUUUAUUAUAAUUUUUUUUGAUAGCCUUUAAGAAUGUCUUUGACAAAAGAAGAACGUAUUGAGAUCAUCCUCAUGGCUGGAUUGGGAAGCUGUCGCAAGGUUGCGAUGGACUUUAACAGGAAACACGGUGAGCACCUUACACACGACACUGUUGCCAAACUUAUUAAUAAAUUCAAAAAGACUGGAAGUGUUGCAGACUGAUCCAAAAGUGGAUGUCCACGAACAUCCGCUGAAACAUAGUCAAACAUACUGUAUGGAGACUUUUGGGACACCCUGUAUUUAUUUGUUUGAGGUUACUUUAUGGGUAUCUGAAUAUGAAAAAUAAUAAACCUUUACAGCAAAUUAAAUGGUAAGCAUGUUGUCAGCAUUUGAUAUCACUUCACAUAUACAGUGGAUACUCACACAAAGCAGGGGCGUGUUGACGUGCGUUCCCACUUGCCAUUUUUUCUCAUCUGCCCUCACACAUUUUACAUUUAGCCUUAUGGGAAUAGCGUUCCCGUCUGCAUUUUUUGGUCGCACAAGAGCAUCCAAGGUUCAACUUUUCAGAAAAUUCCCAACUGACGUCAAGAAUUAAAAUUUUUUUUUUUUUGCUUUACCUCCAGUCAUGUUGCAAGUUGGGACAAACGAGGAAAAAAACAUGGAGGAUAAAGAGCUGGUGAAGAAUUAGUCAUCCAAAGCUGCAGCGAAGCAAAAACAACCCUCAAAAAAUCUUUAUUUAAUCUUUAUUACUGAUAAUAAUAAAUCUAAUCUAUAUAGCAAACCCAGGAUAGUUAGUUAGCCGAUACUAGCUAGCACUAGAAAGAACAUUGUUAUGAUUAUGUUAUGGCUUGGCAUUAUUUUUUCUGAAAGUGUGAAAGCACCCUUACGCUGUAGGAAACAUUAGUUACGUGCAGUCGAGCUAGCAUACACAGAGCUAGCAGUUAGGUGUCAUUCUCUAAUUUCAGACUAAUGACCACAUUCAUUCCAGUACAUAUAGCACACUGUGAGCUCUGAGUGUCUCUGGUGUUCAAUACAUCCAUUCUCUGCAAUUCUAGCACAUCAUCCAGGUAUUAAUAGUGCACUAGCAUGUGAAGAACACAGUUUGAGACAGAGAUAUAGUUCCUAACACAAAAUACUGAUCAGUAGGUAAAGAAAGGUCCAAGUGUUCUAAUGCAAUUUCGUAAUAUGUGGCAUCUCAACCAUUAAAUUUCUUUUUUCAAAUUGGACUUUCGUGUUUCGUCCUUCUUGUCUUCAUUCUUGCUUAGCCCCAAACUGCUAUGUUUCUCAGCUGUGAUUCUCAGAUAAGCUUAAAGCCAACAUUUUGCAAAUCAUCAAUACGCAUUGCAUGCUUGAAGUGGGGAGAGGGGUGGGCUUGACCAUGAAUCACAUGGACGGUCAUGCAUACAUAGG